AAAAAAUCAUCAGACAAUAUUUGAUGUCACAUUAACAUCAGAAGCAAUUCAACAUAAGUACAAACACAACAAUUAUAUAGCAUUGGUCAAAGUCAAUAUAUUAUUUCUGUGUAUGGUUAUCUGUUACUUUGAUAAGUGAUAUGAUUGCCAAUGAGACAAAUAUCCAACAGAGUUGAAAUGAAGUGUAUCUUAGGAACUAUUUUUAAACAUUAUUGCAUGUUCUUUUCUUUAAUAUACAUACACAAAUUCCCCCCCCUCAUAUUUCACCAUAAAAGGAUACUUGUUUACAAAUUGCAUUCCUCUUCAAUAAUCUUACUACUCGCUAUUUUCCCUCCUCUUUGAGUAUAUUCGUCCUCAUAAUGCGAUGACUUCUUUAUAUAAUGAUAUAAUAAUCUCAACGAUUUACACAAUAUAUUUU
rnacentral:lncRNA from 1 species